GCAGGGGUGGCGAAGCGGUCAAACGCGUAAGGCUUAGGACCUUAUGACUCAGGUCUUCGUGGGUUCGAAUCCCACCCCCUGCA
rnacentral:tRNA from 1 species